rnacentral:rRNA from 1 species
UACGGAGGGUGCAAGCGUUAUCCGGAUUCACUGGGUUUAAAGUGUGCGUAGGCGGGCAGGUAAGUCAGUGGUGAAAUCUCCGAGCUUAACUCGGAAACUGCCAUUGAUACUAUUUGUCUUGAAUAUUGUGGAGGUAAGCGGAAUAUGUCAUGUAGCGGUGAAAUGCUUAGAUAUGACAUAGAACACCAAUUGCGGAGGCAGCUUACUACACAAUGAUUGACGCUGAGGCACGAAAGCGUGGGGAUCAAACAGG